CGGAGGGUGCAAGCGUUGUCCGGAUUUAUUGGGUUUAAAGGGUGCGUAGGCGGUCUUUUAAGUCAGUGGUGAAAUCCUGCAGCUCAACUGUAGAACAGCCAUUGAUACUGAAAGACUUGAGUACAGACGAGGCAGGCGGAAUUUAUGGUGUAGCGGUGAAAUGCAUAGAUACCAUAAAGAACCCCUAUUGCGAAGGCAGCUUACUAGGCUGUAACUGACGCUGAGGCACGAAAGCGUGGGGAUCAAACAGGAUUAGAUACCCUGGUAGUCCACGCCGUAAACGAUGAUUACUCGAUGUUCGCGAUAUACAGUGAGCGUCCAAGCGAAAGCGUUAAGUAAUCCACCUGGGAAGUACGAUCGCAAGAUUG
rnacentral:rRNA from 1 species